rnacentral:rRNA from 1 species
UACGUAGGUCCCGAGCGUUGUCCGGAUUUAUUGGGCGUAAAGCGAGCGCAGGUGGUUUAUUAAGUCUGGUGUAAAAAGCAGUGGCUCAACCAUUGUAUGCAUUGAAAACUGGUAGACUUGAGUGCAGGAGAGGAGAGUGGAAUUCCAUGUGUAGCGGUGAAAUGCGUAGAUAUAUGGAGGAACACCGGUGGCGAAAGCGGCUCUCUGGCCUGUAACUGACACUGAGGCUCGAAAGCGUGGGGAGCAAACAGG